AAAUCUUGUUUUGAAUUUAUGUUUCUGUAUACCAGCUGGUAACCGCUCAAACACCUUACUGGGCAAUGCUCCCAUGUGGAAGCAAAUUGCCCUUAAAUUUCAAUCAACUUAUCAAACUGAAAAUUAUAACAUCCCACAUAGUAUCCUUGAAUGUCAGAGGGUUGAAUGUCCCGGAGAGACAGCGUUUCCUCCUUGCUGAGUAAAAACGGGUAUGCGUGGAUAUUUCAACAGCCUCACUUUCGACGGGGCUCUGCGUCCUCUCUUCGGGGCUGCCGAUAUACCACCGGCUACUUUGGUUAUUAUGAUGGAGGUUAAGCCAGGGAAGUAGCAAUUUUGCUUGCAUCACAAAUACCCACUCUGGUCAAUGUAUAUUUACCUAAUAAAGACCCAAUUAAAACAUUGACGAAAAUUUUAGGUCUGGUAGUACAGGUUAAAAAAGGUAGUCAUUCUCGCAGGCGAUUUUAACUGCAUUUUUGAUACCUCUUGCGAUAAACAAUUGGCUAAAAAUCAGAGGAUAGAUAAAUCUCUUAAAAGGCAGGCUGUGUCGUUAAGCAGAGUGAUUAAGAAGGCGGAUAUGUUUGACUGUUGGAGACUGUUUCAUCCCAAUGAAAGAAACUUUACACACAGAUCUAUCCCUCACAAUUCGGCUGCUUGGAUAGAUAUGAUUUUGGGAAAUCUAAAAUUAGUUCAGGCAAUUACUCUAAUUUCUAUCGUUGAAAAUACUUGGUCAGAUCAUGAUAUGGUAAUCGCAGAUCUGGUAGAAAUUAAUAAGAGACCUCCGCAGAUCUGGAAACUGGCAGAUUAUCUGAUAAAAAAUAAAGCAAAUGUAGAACAUAUAGAGAAGUUAAUUGAUUUCUUUAUUAAGGAGAAUUCAACUGAGGAGGUAUCUGAAGAAUGCUUAUGGUCCUCGUGUAAAGUAGUCAUCAGGGGACACUGGAUAAAACUUUCAAGUUUCCAAAAAAAGAAUGUAGACAAUAUUUUGUCAGAUCUUUUAUAUCCAAUUUUAUAAUCUCUCUAAAGCGAACAAGUUUAUUCUGAAGAGAGAGCCUUAGCUAUUAAAGUCUACCAAGAAAAGAUAAAUGAUCAGAUUAAGAAUAGGGUGGAACGUAACCUAAAUAAGUUAAACAUUAAAUAUUAUUAUAAGAACAACCGGGUAGACUCAGUCUUAACAAAUAAACUGAAGAAAAAGAUGACCGACCAUAAGAUAUCUAAAUUAAGAGAUGGAAUUAAUUACAUCUAUAACCCUGAAGAAAUUGCCAGUAAAUUUAGAGUGUUUGUUUUAUCAAAAACUUUAUAACCUGAAUAAAUCUCCCGACCAAGGUUUGUUGGAUAAUUACUUGAAAAAUUCCAAUCUAUCUAAAUUAUCUAACGAUCAGAUAGUGAAACUUAAUAGAAAUACAUCUCAUCAUGAAGUUGAGUUGGCAAUUGAUAAGCUUAACAGUAAAGCUCCUGGAGCGGAGAGGUAUACAAAUUUGUUUUUUAAGGUUUUUAAAAGACAUUUAAUUCCGUUGUUAACCGAUACUUUCAACGAAUUGGCACUCAAAGGGAAUGCAUCUCAAGAUUUAUUAAGGGCUCAUAUUACUCCAAUUUUGAAACAGGGUAAAAGCCCAAAUGAUGUGAGUAAUUACCGUCCUAUUUCUCUGGUUAAUGUGGAUAUGAAACUUUAUGCCGCAAUUUUAGCGGAACGUUUGAAAAUAGUCUUGCCAUCACUUAUACAUAGGGACCAGAUAGGUUUUAUUCAGGGAAGACAUUCCUCAAAUAACACCCGUAGGGUUCUGGAUAUUAUAGAAUGGGCUCAAGUUGAGGGAACCCCCUUUCUGACCCUGUCGGUGGACGCUGAAAAAGCCUUCGACAGGGUCGGAUGGGGAUAUUUGAAGAGAACUGUUACAGUUCGGUUUUGACGGGUGGUUCUUGAACGCAGUGGGAGCUAUAUAUUCGAAUCCCUCUGCCCGUCUAGUAGCCCGUGAUUUAUGCUCAGAUUGGUUCUAUAUUAAUAAUGGGACGAGACAGGGGUGUCCUCUCUCACCUUUAUUAUAUGUCUUAUCAAUUGAACCACUAGCAAAUAAUAUUAGACAAAAUGUAGGGAUUAAAGGAUUAGGAACUCAACUUGAUGAAUGGAAGAUAUGUUUAUAUGCUGACGAUAUUUUAAUUUCUAUUACGGAUCCCCUGGUUUCUCUUCCCCAUUUAAUGCAAGAAUUUAACCACUAUAGUAGUGUUUCAAAUUAUAAUUUGAACACGAAUAAAACAAUAGCUAUGCCGAUUUAAUAUACAUGAAGAUAAUUUAUUUUCCCUAAAGAAAGAUUUUGACUUUAAAUGGACAAAAAAAAAGAGUUUAUAUAUUUGGGGGUAAUUAUAACUGCAGAUAUAAGACGGACUAUGGAAAUCAAUUUUUUGAAGCUGUUAAAAGAGACUAAUAUGUUAUUAAAAGAAUGGAGAGUGCAUGAAAUCUCCUGGUGGGGAAGGAUAAAUAGUAUUAAAGCCUAUAUAAUUCCUAAAUGGGCAUACUUAUUCAGUAUGCUCCCUCUCGAUUUCGAGCUAUUGGCUGAAUAUGCUGCAAAAUAGCAUUACAGUUUAUGUUUGGAGAGGGAAGAGACCAAGAAUUAGUACAUCCACUCUAUCAAGGAAGGCCCACCAAGGGGGGUUGGGUUACCCCCUAGUCAAUCAAAUCUACCAGGCUAAUAGGCUUGUUCAUGCUAGUAGAUUACAACUAAGUGACUCUAUAGACCAAGCUUGGUAUAAAAUAGAGGCAGCCAGACUUGGUUUAGAUAACCUUGAAAUCCUCCUAUGGAGAGAGGCUAGUCAGAAUAAGCAUUUGUGCGAGAUUGGUUCUCAUUUUCCUUUGUCUUUAUCACAGACAUUAAAAGAAUGGACUAAUAUAAAGAAGAAGUUGAAUAUUAAAGGACCACUCUAGGCACCCAGACCACUUCAGCUUAAUGAAGUGGUCUGGGUGCCAGGUCCUUCCAGGGUUAACCCAUUUUUUUUUAUAAACAUAGCAGUUUCUGAGAAACUGCUAUGUUUAUGAAUGGGUUAAGCCUUCCCCCUAAUCCUCUAGUGGCUGUCUCAUUGACAGCCACUAGAGGCGCUUGCGUGCUUCUCACUGUGAUUUUCACAGUGAGAGCACGAUGCUUUCCUAUGCGACGGGCUGAAUGCGCGCGCAGCUCAGCCCAGGAGGAGAAGAGAAGGAGGAGAGCUCCCCGCCUAGCGCUGGAAAAAGGUAGGUUUUAACCCCUUUCCAGAGCUGGGCGGGAGGGGGACCCUGAGGGUGGGGGCACCCUCAGGGCACUAUAGUGCCAGGAAAACAAGUGUUUUCCUGGCACUAUAGUGGUCCUUUAAUAGAAAACUAUAUGAGAACAUUAGUCUAAGGUCGUUAGAAUGUUUUAUGCUAGAGAUAUACCUGACGAAUUGGUUCAAAGAUCCUAAUCAUAAGAUAAAAGAUCUUUAUAAUGAUCACCAAUUGAAAAGCUUUGAAGUUUUGAAAAACUGGCUAGAUUUACCUUCUAGAGAAUUAUUUAAUUUUCUUCAUAUUAAGAGCUACUUGAAAGAUAGCAUACUGGCUUUAGAUGGACGUUUUGGAAAAUUGUUUAGGAAAAUCUUUUUACGAUGUAACGUUAAAUUUUUUUUCUCUAUUGCAGUUGAACUAAUAAAAUUGAAAGUGACCCCACCUAUCCCCAAAGCCUUAACCAAACGGAAAACUGAUUUAGCAGUUUCAAUUCCAUUUAAUAGUUGGUGUAAAUCCUUUAUGAGGACUUAAAAAACCAUUCAUUUCUAGAGAAUUUUACUAAAAUAUUGUACAGAUGGUACUUGGUACCGUCUAGACUUGCUAAAAUUUCCAUUACUAAUCCAUCUAAUUGUUGGCGGUGUCAACACCCAGAUGGCUCUAUGUUUCAUAUAUGGUGGACCUGCCAUCGAAUUAAGUCUCUCUGGAUUAUUACAUUUGAAUUUAUAAAUAGAAUUGGAGGUAUACAUUUAAAAUUUAAACCGGAAGUCGCCCUACUUCAUCUUAUGGGCUUAGAAAUAAAGGAUAAUAUUGAUAUUGUGAUUAUACACUGUUUAAUGGCUACCAAAAUAUUAAUUGCUAGAUUUUGGAAAAGUACUGAUAUUCCUACUAGAGAUCAAGUUAAAGCCCAACUCCUAUUCCAAGUCGAGAUGGAAAAGGGGUUAAUGUAUAUGAGAGAAUAUCCUAAUUUUAAUAUUUUGACGUUUUAUUCCAGUAUUGUUGAAAAAAUUAUUGGGCUUUAAAUGAGCUGGAGGAGCUGGGGUUACUGCAUACAUUCACCUUAUGGCAAAUUUGAUGAUCUCAUAAUGGGCUCUAAUUUCGGGUCCCUUGCCCACAUCCUGAUAUUACUUAAUGUAGUAUUGGAUCUGCAAUAUAUCUGACCAGUUUUGUCUUUGUUUUUAAGGCCGUUUUUGGACCAUGAUAUCCCCUUCAGGGGAUUUUAAUGUUAGUAUAUUAUUGUGUACUUGAUGGCUUAUUUCUGACGUAAUUUGAAAUAGAAUAAUAUACCUUUUGUAUGUUUAAUGGGGAUAGGAGUCCUUAUUUUUUCUGUAAGGUUCCUUCCCCUAGAUGUUCUUAUGUCUAUCAAUGCUUUCAUAAAAAAAAAAAAAAUCUAAUAAAAG